GCUUCCUUAGCUCAGUCGGUAGAGCGCGAGUCUCAUAGAAAUUGAGGGACGUGGGUCUCAUAAUCUCGAGGUCGCAAGUUCGAGCCUUGCAGGGAGCA
rnacentral:tRNA from 1 species